AUGGUGUUGGGACUGAGCUGGGUUUUCCUUGUGGCUCUUUUGAAAGGUGUCCAGUGUGAGAUACAGCUCAUGGAGACAGGAGGAGGUUUGGUGCAGCCUGGGAAUUCUCUAAAACUCUCCUGUGUUGCCUCGGGAUUCACUUUCAGCAACUACUGGAUGUACUGGGUUCGCCAGGCUCCAGGGAAGGGGCUGGAGUGGGUUGCUCGAAUUAAACGCAAAUCUGAAAGCUAUGCAGCAGACUAUGCAGAGUCUGUGAAAGGCAGAUUCACCAUCUCAAGAGACGAUUCCAAAAGCACUGUCUACCUGCAAAUGAAAAGCUUAAGAGAGGAGACACUGCCACUUAUUACUGUACAGAACACAGUGAGGGGCCAUCAGUGUGAACCCAUACACAAACCUCCCUGCAGGUUUCAGUAA